UGCAGAGACAAGCUCUCCAGCAUGGGACGUUGUGUUCCUCGGGCUGCAGUCAAUCAAUCAUCACUCUGCCACAAAGGUUAAGGCCAAAAAGUAAGUGCACAAAAGAGCAGUUUGGAUUCUGAAACCUUGGCAAUGAGUCUCCCUUCCUUCUUCAGAGCCGCCGUGCUUCUGGGAACACAAAGACCCAAGUCAGUUUUCUGGGCAUCACUUCAAAAACAUAAAGGAUGGUGGCAAAUGUAGGAUCUGGGUUCCAGAGAGACAGGCCAAAGGUCCCCAAGCAUCCAUCAUCCUGAAGGACUUCAGGGUACACUUG